rnacentral:rRNA from 1 species
GGUGAUACCCCCGUACACGUAACACAGCGGCUCUGCGACGUCACCCCAAGUAACACGGAACCCCUGAAAUUCCGUGUGAAUCUGGCGGGACCACCCGCUAAGCCUAAAUACUCCUUGGUGACCGAUAGCGGACAAGUACCGUGAGGGAAAGGUGAAAAGUACCCCUGGCGGGGAGUGAAAUAGUACCUGAAACCGUCUGCUUACAAUCCGUCGGAGCACCCUUAGCAGGUGUGACGGCGUGGCUUUUGAAGAAUGAGCCUGCGAGUUAGUGAUACGUGGCGAGGUUAACCC